AGUCCAUUUGAGGCGUGAUUAUUGCUGGUUGAAAACUUAACCCAAUACCCCGCUUGGGGCGACUUGAAAUAUAGUCAUCCCUGGCAAUUUUUGAUAGUCUCAUGUGAGA
rnacentral:snRNA from 8 species